rnacentral:tRNA from 1 species
UAGGUGGAUGCUCGCUGGUUAGAGCACUUAGCUGUUAACUAAGAGUUUGUAGGAUCGAGGCCUACCCACCUAG